rnacentral:rRNA from 1 species
GACGAACGCUGGCGGCGUGCCUAACACAUGCAAGUCGAACGGGAACGCCCUGCGCUUGUGGUGUUCUCGCGAGGGGCACACGGGUGUGACACACGUGGAUACCCUCCCUGACAUUGGGGUAAAAUAUGGGAAAUCGGGUUCUAACACCGCAGGAGCCUCCGCACCGCGGGGUGGGUUGGGAAGAUUCGGCGGGUGGGGCUGGUCUUGCGGGUUAUCGGCGUGUUGGUGGGGUAGUGGCUUACCAAGGCUUUGCCGGGUCGCCGGCCUGAGAGGGUGACCGGCCACAUUGGGACUGAGAUACGGCCCAGACUCCUACGGGAGGCAGCAGUGGGGAGUAUUGCACAAUGGGCGGAAGCCUGAUGCAGAAACGCCGCGUGCGGGAUGACGGCCUGCGGGUUGUAAACCGCUUUCGCCUGUGACGAAGCGUGAGUGACGGUAAUGGGUAAAGAAGCACCGGCUAACUACGUG